rnacentral:lncRNA from 1 species
AAUAGUGAAUGGGAAAUGAAAAGAGAAAAUGGAAAGUGGAAGAACCAAUGAAAAUGGGGGAACCAAUUUUGGAGGGAAAAUGAAAAGUCAUUGCAAAACUGCAAAUGAAUAGUCAUUUUUUACCAUAUCGGUAGAAGAGAGGAAAUUGUUGUCCUUAUAUUAGGAAACACUUCCUUUACUUCUUAAAGGGUUAAGAAGAAGGUGCCCCCUCGCGCCGUCGUCGUCGCUCGCUCGACCUCGGCCUCGGCUUCGGCUUCGG